rnacentral:rRNA from 1 species
UACGGGGGGGGUAAGCGUUGUUCGGAAUUACUGGGCGUAAAGGGCUCGUAGGCGGCCAACUAAGUCAGACGUGAAAUCCCUCAGCUUAACUGGGGAACUGCGUCUGAUACUGGAUGGCUUGGAUUCGGGAGAGGAAUGCGGAAUUCCAGGUGUAGCGGUGAAAUGCGUAGAUAUCUGGAGGAACACCGGUGGCGAAGGCGGCGCUCUGGGCCGGUACUGACACUGAGGAGCGAAAGCGUGGGUAGCAAACAGG